UACACUCCUGCGGGAGGCAGCAGUGGGGAAUUUUGGACAAUGGGCGAAAGCCUGGUCCAGCAAUGCCGCGUGAGUGAAGAAGGCCUUCGGGUUGUAAAGCUCUUUUGUCAGGGAAGAAACGGUGAAAGCUAAUAUCUUUUACUAAUGACGGUACCUGAAGAAUAAGCACCGGCUAACUACGUGCCAGCAGCCGCGGUAAUACGUAGGGUGCAAGCGUUAAUCGGAAUUACUGGGCGUAAAGCGUGCGCAGGCGGUUUUGUAAGUCUGAUGUGAAAUCCCCGGGCUCAACCUGGGAAUUGCAUUGGAGACUGCAAGGCUAGAAUCUGGCAGAGGGGGGUAGAAUUCCACGUGUAGCAGUGAAAUGCGUAGAUAUGUGGAGGAACACCGAUGGCGAAGGCAGCCCCCUGGGUCAAGAUUGACGCUCAUGCACGAAAGCGUGGGGAGCAAACAGGAUUAGAUACCCCUGUAGUCCCAU
rnacentral:rRNA from 1 species